rnacentral:rRNA from 1 species
UACGUAGGGCGCAAGCGUUGUCCGGAAUUAUUGGGCGUAAAGAGCUCGUAGGCGGCUUGUCACGUCGGGUGUGAAAGCCCGGGGCUUAACCCCGGGUCUGCAUUCGAUACGGGCUAGCUAGAGUGUGGUAGGGGAGAUCGGAAUUCCUGGUGUAGCGGUGAAAUGCGCAGAUAUCAGUCGGAACACCGGUGGCGAAGGCGGUUCUCUGGGCCUGUACUGACGCUGAGGAGCGAAAGCGUGGGGAGCGAACAGG